CUUUGAUAGGAGUGAGGAGGAGAAAAAUGGUAGGUUCAGAAACAGGCCAGUGCUCAAGAAGCUUAAUAGGCUGAGGAGGAUUUAGCAAGUCAUUUAAUAACUGCAAGAAAUACACAGCGAGGAAAUGAUUUUUCAGUGAAAGCUGUGAAGACACCACUGUGAAAUUUCUCCUGGUUUGUUUCUCAGUGCUGCUUGUUGCUUGCAGCUGUGAUUCAGACACGCAUCAU